AUCCCCUCUCCUGGCUGUGGCGGUGGGGGUGGUGCAUCUGGCAGUGACCGGCUGACCCGGGAGCCAGGGGUGUGGGCAGUUCCGGGGGCCACCCACGCGCGGGGGUGUAGACGCUGCGCCGUCCUGCUUCCCCCUAGCCCUGUCCUCUGGGGACAAUCCUUUGCAGGAGGUCGUUCAUCAGUGUUCCUCAGCCUGCGCCAGGCCAGCCUCCCGCCUUUAAGGCGUGCAUUGUUUUUCAGCCUGGCCCCUGUGAGACCCCAGUGCGUGGCCGGGGAGGGCGCUUCACCCACGCGGCGCGGGAGCAGCGCGGAGCCCGCAGCUGAGGUCCCGCCCGGCGCCCGGUUCCUGCAACUCCAGGCGUGGCCAGCAGGGGGCGGCGUGGGCACGCUCGAGGCCCCGCCUGGGACCCGGGGCAUUUCCUUCCCUCUUCCGCGGCUCUGCCUUCGUGCAAACGACCCUGACCCGGGGACAGCCCGGGUACUGCUCUUUAACCCCCUGCUGCUCAGAUUCUUCACGCAGCCUAAAGAGGCGGCCAAGCCUGUAAGUCUCACUUUGCAGAUGUAGAAGCAGAGGCUCAGCAGGGCAGAUCUCCUCCCGAAGUCCCGGGACCAUCAGAGAUGGUUCAUUUUGACCGAGGCCCGUCUGGUGGUUCGUUGCUGUGAUGUAUUUCGGCAUCAUCGACGCAGGUUCACCAGCCUCAUCUCGACCUUGGAAAUGUUGCGGUAUUUUACAGUGUGUGGUGACAUUUAUGGGCCCAUUUGGACACCCACAAAGAGGUUGAUUUCCAUAGAUUAAAUGUCAAGUUUGAAGCCAUCCAGGGUAAUUGAAUCCUUGAAUGUUGUCCACUUCGAUUCUCAGCUGGGGCCGUUGACUGGACAUUUGUGCUCUGUUACAAACUCUUGAGUGCAGCCCAAAUUGCUUAAUGCCAAAAGGUCACUCUGUGAGUCCAGGGGGAGGGUGUCGGUAGGGAGGACCAUGGCACUGGAGUUUGAUACCUGCAGAAAUGUUGCCUUGUUUUUAUUUCUUUAAAUGAAAGCACAUAUGUGGUUAGUUGGUGAAUACAUUACCGGGGACAGAAGAAAAAAAACCCCACCAACUAAGACUUCCUAGAUGUCAGUUAGUUUAAAAUAUCUAACCAUCUAUGUUUUGUCAAGAGCAAAAGGCUAAAAAGAACUUCACUGUAAUGUUUUAAGUAGGAAUAGUUUUAAACGGCAUUAAACACAUAUACAUAAACUUGGCAUGAGCGUCAUUUAAAUUGAAGGGUAGCAAAAAAGCAUCAAAUAAUUUCUGAGAUAUUGAAACGUAUUCACCUGCUGAUUGUCCAGAGAACAUGUGUGUCUUCAGACUUUGGAUCUGAGUGUCUUGAAUUUUUGUCCUCACAAGGAACUGGAGUUAAAUGGAUCCAAUACGGGUACACCCACACCCAUUUCCUCCACUGGUACGCUGUGGCCAGGAGGCGCGGGCCAGCCUCAGAGGCCUUCCUCACUGGGAUUUCUGGCUUUCUGCAGGUUCAGCUGUCCACACGGUGGCAUGGCUUUCUCAGCUCCA
rnacentral:lncRNA from 10 species